CUGCGGGAUUAUCUAAUAAAAAAUUAAUUAGGUUAGCAUUACUUGAACUCGAGACUUGCUGAUUUCAAAGGAAUUUAUAAUUGAAAGACAGACUCGACAAGUUUAUCUUUGUUUUCUCUCCUUUUUUAUUGUAAGACGUGUCGGGAAAAAAUACAAGGGUUGUUGUAACAGAAAAUCUCCUUUCAGCACUUGGGAUAUAAUUUUCAAGGUUAUUUUAUCGAGAACUAUUUUCUUUUUCAUUUAUUUUUAUGUUUGUUUUGUGUUCAAUGAAAUAUCUUCACUUUUUGAGAAACGUUGACCCUGAACUUUUAUAAUAAGUAAAAGUCGGCAACGACAGUAAAAGAAAUGUUUAACUUUCCCAGUCACCAUAAACUGACCAGCCUAAUUACAAGUGGGUUUCGGACAAAAAUCGGUCACUUUGUGAGUCAGCGUACCUGUCAUUUCCUGAUAGUCUAAGAUCCUAAUUAAGGUCGUCCCAUCUGCUUACCGAAUGAAACUUAUUUUUUAUCAAAUGUAAUAAAUAUAUCGUGGAUGGGUUGCCUAAAACUUACAUAGCGAUUCAGAUAAAAUAAAGAGCCUGACGAUCUGGCGAUGCAACCCAAAAAACACUUUUCAUUUACGCCUUUGAUCCAGUUUAAAUUAGGAUUUGCAAGUUGAAUCCAAGUUAUCAACUUAUGUCACUCUGACAUUAGCGCACAGAACGAUCAUUAUUACCAUUUAGUUUUCGCGGAAUGAUAGAGAAAGUAGAGAAGUCUUUUCGGUGUAUAAACUACAAUACAAAAUGUAUGAAAGAAUGAAACAUUAAAGCGAAAAAAGUGUUCGAAAUGCUGGUCUUCUGCUUGUUUUUUUUUUUGAAGAAAAAUGGCCCGAUUAUACGAUACACAAAGAUGCGAGAUGCCACACUAAACGCUCACCAAAACAAUUUAUUGGAAAUGUGUUUCACUUAGCCACAGUAGAUUUUUUGAGCAUAGUAGUGACUGUUGUGCACUGUCAUUGUUACAAAAUUGGGCUUCAUCACAAUAAAAUUUUCUGAAGUAA